CAAGGAAUUUUCCGCAAUGGGCGCAAGCCUGACGGAGCAACGCCGCGUGCAGGACGACGGCCUUAGGGUUGUAAAGCCCUUUCAGUCGUGACGAUGAUGACGGUAGCGACAGAAGAAGCCCCGGCUAACUCCGUGCCAGCAGCCGCGGUAAUACGGAGGGGGCAAGCGUUGUUCGGAUUUACUGGGCGUAAAGGGCGCGUAGGCGGACGGUCAAGUCAGAGGUGAGAGGCCCGGGCUCAACCUGGGACGUGCCUUUGAAACUGAUUGUCUUGAGUGCGGAAGAGGGUGACGGAAUUCCCAGUGUAGAGGUGAAAUUCGUAGAUAUUGGGAAGAACACCGGUGGCGAAGGCGGUCACCUGGCCCGCAACUGACGCUGAGGCGCGAAAGCGUGGGGAGCAAACAGGAUUAGAUACCCCCGUAGUCC
rnacentral:rRNA from 1 species